rnacentral:rRNA from 1 species
GGUGCCUACGGGACGCAGCAGUAGGGAAUCUUCCACAAUGGGCGAAAGCCUGAUGGAGCAACGCCGCGUGGGUGAAGAAGGUCUUCGGAUCGUAAAACCCUGUUGUUAGAGAAGAAAGUGCGUGAGAGUAACUGUUCACGUUUCGACGGUAUCUAACCAGAAAGCCACGGCUAACUACGUGCCAGCAGCCGCGGUAAUACGUAGGUGGCAAGCGUUAUCCGGAUUUAUUGGGCGUAAAGGGAACGCAGUCGGUCUUUUAAGUUUGAUGUGAAAGCCUUCGGCUUAACCGGGGGAGUGCAUUGGAA